CCUACGGGCGGCUGCAGUGGGGAAUCUUGCACAAUGGGGGAAACCCUGAUGCAGCGACGCCGCGUGAGCGAUGAAGCCCUUCGGGGUGUAAAGUUCUUUCGACGGGGACGAUAAUGACGGUACCCGGAGAAGAAGCUGCGGCUAACUACGUGCCAGCAGCCGCGGUAAUACGUAGGCAGCAAGCGUUGUUCGGAAUUACUGGGCGUAAAGAGUGCGUAGGCGGUUGGCUAAGUUUGGUGUGAAAUCUCCCGGCUCAACUGGGAGGGUGCGCCGAAAACUGGCCGGCUAGAGUGUGGGAGAGGUAAGUGGAAUUCCUGGUGUAGCGGUGAAAUGCGUAGAUAUCAGGAGGAACACCUGCGGUGUAGACGGCUUACUGGACCAUGACUGACGCUGAGGCACGAAAGCGUGGGGAGCAAACAGGAUUAGAUACCCUAGUAGUC
rnacentral:rRNA from 1 species